AUAAGCAUGUUCUGGUAUUUGUCGGUAUAUACCAAACGAUAUAAAUGACAAUCCGCCGUUUGUACAAUUGUUUGUUAAAAAAGCCUAUUACUCACAUCGAAAAACCUGUUUGACGAGCAAAAGAUUUUAUACUUUCCAGGAUAAACACAUUUUUUCAAAUAAAGUUACUAUGGUCCUACUGUCAAUAGAGAUUUUUUUGUUUUAUUUGGCUUCCUCAAUUUAGUGAAAAAAUGUUUUCUUUCAAUCAAAUCCCAGUAUUGUUGUGGCCGAUGUAAACAAUCGGGAACAGGGUUGCCACCUAGGGGAGGUAAAAGGGCGCAGGGCUGCCACCUAGUUCCGAGCAGGGAAAUUUUGGGAAUAAGAGGGUUAAUGACCUGGGACGGAUCGGGUCCGGAACGACGGUUCGAUCCGAAUGACCAUGCCAGGGAAAGAUCGAAGGGAAGGUGAAUUGAAAGGCAGUGGUCAAGCGAUGCGGUCGUAGACAUAUAAAAUAAAAAAAAAAAAGAGGAAGAAGGACAAAAGAAAAAAAAAUAACUUUCUCAUGUUUUGUGGCGCAAAGGAAUUGUAAUUUUGCCGGAUCAAAGGAAAUUGAAGGAAACAAAGCGGGAAGCAGGAUCGGCAGGAAUAUAAGGACCGACCAGACUCGCAUCUCCGGGGGAAGAAGCCAGGCCGUGAAAAAAGGAAGCUAGGCCUGGCGUGUUUGUUUUAUGGGGGAUUUAAAAAAGUCUCAAAUAUCAAGAAACCCAACGGUCGUUUUGACCCAACGGAAACCCCUUUUUUUUCCUAUUGAUUUUGGCGCCGCAGUUUUUUUGGCGCCUUGCUAAGGAUUGAAGCCGGACCUGAAAUGUGAUUGCGAAGGGCGGCUGAAAGUGUUGAUAUGACCCACCGCGGACGGACCGCAGGCUAGGAGGCUCCUUUUUUAUAUAUAUGACGGGUUGGCCAUAAUCCGGAGAAUUGCCUCGCCUUCUCGGGUCCGGAAUCCACCCACGAAGGAAAGAAGCCUGGAAGAUAGCCGAUCGUGAUUGGAAAUCCGAUAGAGAUAUACAUUAGGAGAGAACUGUUUUGCGUUAUUGAUUAUUUAUUUCUAUUUUAUUAUUAUUUAUUAUUUAAUUUUAAUAACCAUU